UACGAGAGGCCCAAACGUUAUUCGGAAUUACUGGGCUUAAAGAGUUCGUAGGCGGCGCAGAAAGUAGGGUGUGAAAGCCCUCGGCUCAACCGAGGAAUUGCGCUCUAAACUACUGUGCUUGAGGAAGCUAGAGGUGAGCAGAACAGAUGGUGGAGCGGUGAAAUGCGUUGAUAUCAUCUGGAAUACCGGAGGCGAAGGCGGCUCACUGGGGGUCUUCUGACGCUGAGGAACGAAAGCCAGGGGAGCGAACGGG
rnacentral:rRNA from 1 species